GCCCGCUCAAGAAACGUUAAAGGAAUUGGACGGGGCCCGCACAAGCGGUGGAGUAUGUGGUUUAAUUCGAUGCAACGCGAAGAACCUUACCUGGUCUUGACAUCUCGGAGACCCUUAGGAAACUAGGGGGUGCUUCCAUCUGGAAGAAUCUGGAGACAGGUGCUGCAUGGCUGUCGUCAGCUCGUGUCGUGAGAUGUUGGGUUAAGUCCCGCAACGAGCGCAACCCUUGCCUUUAGUUGCCAGCAGUUCGGCUGGGCACUCUAAAGGGACUGCCGGUGUUAAACCGGAGGAAGGUGGGGAUGACGUCAAGUCCUCAUGGCCUUUAUGACCAGGGCUACACACGUACUACAAUGGCCGAUACAAAGGGCAGCGACACUGCGAGGUGAAGCCAAUCCCGUAAAAUCGGUCUCAGUCCGGAUUGGAGUCUGCAACUCGACUCCAUGAAGUUGGAAUCGCUAGUAAUCGUGGAUCAGCAUGCCACGGUGAAUACGUUCCCGGGCCUU
rnacentral:rRNA from 1 species